rnacentral:rRNA from 1 species
UACGUAGGGGGCAAGCGUUGUCCGGAUUUAUUGGGCGUAAAAGGCUUGUAGGUGGCCACGCCAAGUCGGAUGUGAAAUCUCCCGGCUCAACUGGGAGGGGUCAUUCGAUACUGGCGGGCUCGAGGCCGGUAGGGGGAAGUGGAAUUCCCGGUGUAGUGGUGGAAUGCGUAGAUAUCGGGAGGAACACCAGUGGCGAAGGCGGCUUCCUGGACCGGUUCUGACACUGAGAAGCGAAAGCGUGGGGAGCGAUCCGG